CUACGGGGGGCAGCAGUGAGGAAUAUUGGUCAAUGGGCGAGAGCCUGAACCAGCCAAGUCGCGUGCAGGAAGACUGCCCUAUGGGUUGUAAACUGCUUUUGUAUGAGAGUAAAAGACGUUACGAGUAAUGUUUUGCAAGUAUCAUACGAAUAAGGAUCGGCUAACUCCGUGCCAGCAGCCGCGGUAAUACGGAGGAUCCGAGCGUUAUCCGGAUUUAUUGGGUUUAAAGGGUGCGUAGGCGGAAGAUUAAGUCAGUGGUGAAAGUUUGCGGCUCAACCGUAAAAUUGCCAUUGAUACUGAUUUUCUUGAGUACAAAUGAGGUAGGCGGAAUGGGUUGUGUAGCGGCGAAAUGCAUAGAUAUAACACAGAACACCAAUUGCGAAGGCAGCUUACUGGGAUGUAACUGACGCUGAGGCACGAAAGCGUGGGGAUCAAACAGGAUUAGAUACCCUGGUAGUC
rnacentral:rRNA from 1 species